rnacentral:lncRNA from 10 species
CUGGAGUGAAGAUUCUGCCCAUUGGUCAAGAGACCUCCCUCUCAGAUGCUGGCUCUGCCCCUGCCUUUGGGGGUCGACCCUUGUACUCGCAGGACCUUAGGUGACUCUAUUCUACUUCUCUGAUCAUCCAGGAAGCCAACCUGCCUGAGGACGAGUCAUACUCUGUCCUCCCACCCCAGGCCAGAGAGUGGUAUCUGUCUUUCCACAAGUUGCCAACCCUUCUGCCCUGGAGACCUGAGUUGCCUGUGCUUCAACACCAUUCUUCAUUCUGCCUUUCACAAAAUGUACCACCUAAGUGAUAAGGUGAAUAUCAUUUCACUGAAAACGUUCAAAUGAUAUGAAUAUAAGAAGAGUGUGAAAAAUCACCCAUCCUGCACCCCAGCUUCUUCUCAGAGCUGGAGUGCAGUGGCAUAAUCUCGGCUCAUUGCAACCUUCACCUCUGGGGCUCAAGCGAUUCUUCUGCCUCAGCCUCCCAAGUAUUUGGGACUACAGAAGGGAGGAAGCAUGAUUCACAUAACUUCUGUGGCCUCAGGUUUCCCAUCUGCAAACGGGAUAAAAAUAGUAUCUAUCUCAGUAUCUCAGCUGAUCACGGUGGCUCAUGCCUGUAAUCCCAGC